rnacentral:lncRNA from 1 species
AGAUUAAAAUAUGGAUUUGAUGUAUUUAUUUAAAGUGAGAUUUGAAAAUGACUGUACUUUUGUCUAAAUCCCAGCACCCAUCCAGCUACUUAUCAGGGAGCAAAGUUCAUGACAGGCCUGAGAAUCCCAAGAUCAAGAGGCAACAAACCAAAGGUGUGAGGAGAAAGGUUACAAGUUAACUAUUGCUGAGUCAGACUCGCAUCCUUCUUUGCUUAACAUCA